GUUUGAUCCUGGCUCAGAAUGAACGCUUGCGAUAGGCUUAACACAUGCAAGUUGAACAAGAGUGUAUUGCUUUUGUAGCGAACGGGUGCGUAAUGUGUAGGAAUUUACCUUUUUAAAGGAGUGAAAUGCUUUGAGAAAACAAGUUGUUGUAAGAAGAUAAGCCUACAUAAGAUUAGAUAGUUGGUGUGGGAAGGGCUCACCAAGUCGAAGAUCUUUAGCUGAUCUUAGCGGAUGAUCAGCCACACUGGGACUGAGACACGGCCCAGGCUCCCAUGGGAGACAGCAGUGAGGAAUCAUGGACAAUGCACGAGAGUGUGAUCCUGCUAUAUCGCGUGAGUGAUGAAGGGUAUAUUGCUUGUAAAACUCUUUCAGCAAGAACAUGCUUGCAUGUAUAUGGAUAGUGACGUGUCUUGCAUAAGAAGCCCCGGCUAAUAUCUGUGCCAGCAGCCGCGGUAAUACAGAAGGGGCAAGUGUUAUUCGGAAUAAUUGGGCGUAAAUGGCGUGUAGGUUGUGUUUCGUAGCUUUUUGUUAAAUCCUUAUUGUUAUACUAAGUAAAGCGAAAAGAACGGUUACACUGGAGACUGAGAGAGGAAAGGGGAAUUUCUAGUGGAGAAGUUAAAUUCUUAGAUAUUAGAAGGAACACCAAAAGCGAAAGCACCUUUCUGGCUUAGAUCUGACACUGAGGCGCGAAGGCGUGGGGAGCGAAGCCGAUUAGAUACCGGCGUAGUCCACGCAGUCAACGAUGCUG
rnacentral:rRNA from 1 species